rnacentral:rRNA from 1 species
AUUGAACGCUGGCGGCAUGCUUUACACAUGCAAGUCGAGCGGCAGCGCGGGGGCAACCCUGGCGGCGAGCGGCGGACGGGUGAGUAAUGCAUCGGAACGUAUCCCGUAGUGGGGGACAACCCAGCGAAAGCUGGGCUAAUACCGCAUAUGCUCUACGGAGGAAAGUGGGGGACCCGCAAGGGCCUCACGCUAUGGGAGCGGCCGAUGUCCGAUUAGCUAGUUGGUGGGGUAAAGGCCUACCAAGGCGACGAUCGGUAGCUGGUCUGAGAGGAUGAUCAGCCACACUGGGACUGAGACACGGCCCAGACUCCUACGGAGGCAGCAUGGGGAAUUUUGGACAAUGGGGGCAACCCUGAUCCAGCCAUGCCGCGUGCGGGAAGAAGGCCU